GGCAUGGCACAGUGGUUUGAGUGUUAGACUGUGACUCUGGAGACUAGGGUUAAAUCCCUGCUCAGCCA